AGGUUGGGAUUUAUUGCAAUGCUGACAAAUGCACUUGGUAUUGCACUUGUCCCGGCCUGU
rnacentral:pre_miRNA from 1 species